CAAGUCGAGCGGAACGAGUUAUCUGAACCUUCGGGGAACGAUAACGGCGUCGAGCGGCGGACGGGUGAGUAAUGCCUAGGAAAUUGCCCUGAUGUGGGGGAUAACCAUUGGAAACGAUGGCUAAUACCGCAUAAUGCCUACGGGCCAAAGAGGGGGACCUUCGGGCCUCUCGCGUCAGGAUAUGCCUAGGUGGGAUUAGCUAGUUGGUGAGGUAAUGGCUCACCAAGGCGACGAUCCCUAGCUGGUCUGAGAGGAUGAUCAGCCACACUGGAACUGAGACACGGUCCAGACUCCUACGGGAGGCAGCAGUGGGGAAUAUUGCACAAUGGGCGCAAGCCUGAUGCAGCCAUGCCGCGUGUGUGAAGAAGGCCUUCGGGUUGUAAAGCACUUUCAGUCGUGAGGAAGGUGGUAGUGUUAAUAGCACUAUCAUUUGACGUUAGCGACAGAAGAAGCACCGGCUAACUCCGUGCCAGCAGC
rnacentral:rRNA from 1 species